CAAUAGCGUAUAUUAAAGUUGUUGCGGUUAAAAAGCUCGUAGUUGGAUUUCUGCCGAGGACGACCGGUCCGCCCUCUGGGUGUGUAUCUGGUUUGGCCUGGGCAUCUUCUUGGAGAACGUAGCUGCACUUGACUGUGUGGUGCGGUGUCCAGGACUUUUACUUUGAGGAAAUUAGAGUGUUUCAAGCAGGCACACGCCUUGAAUACAUUAGCAUGGAAUAAUAAGAUAGGACCUCGGUUCUAUUUUGUUGGUUUCUAGAACUGAGGUAAUGAUUGAUAGGGAUAGUUGGGGGCAUUCGUAUUUAACUGUCAGAGGUGAAAUUCUUAGAUUUGUUAAAGACGGACUACUGCGAAAGCAUUUGCCAAGGAUGUUUUCAUUGA
rnacentral:rRNA from 1 species